UACGGAGGGGGCUAGCGUUGUUCGGAAUUAUUGGGCGUAAAGCGUACGUAGGCGGCUUUGUAAGUUAGAGGUGAAAGCCCGGGGCUCAACCCCGGAAUUGCCUUUAAGACUGCAUCGCUUGAACGUCGGAGAGGUGAGUGGAAUUCCGAGUGUAGAGGUGAAAUUCGUAGAUAUUCGGAAGAACACCAGUGGCGAAGGCGGCUCACUGGACGACUGUUGACGCUGAGGUACGAAAGCGUGGGGAGCAAACAGG
rnacentral:rRNA from 1 species